UAACGGCGAAGUGAAGCGGCAACAGCUCAAAUUUGAAAUCUGGCGGCCUCUGGGCCGUCCGAGUUGUAAUUUGAAGAGGAUGCUUUUCGGCGAGGCGCCUUCCGAGUGCCCUGGAACGGGACGCCACAGAGGGUGAGAGCCCCGUAUGGUUGGACGCCGAGCCUCUGUAAAGCUCCUUCGACGAGUCGAGUAGUUUGGGAAUGCUGCUCAAAAUGGGAGGUAAACCCCUUCUAAAGCUAAAUACUGGCCAGAGACCGAUAGCGCACAAGUAGAGUGAUCGAAAGAUGAAAAGCACUUUGAAAAGAGAGUUAAAUAGCACGUGAAAUUGUUGAAAGGGAAGCGCUUGCGACCAGACUUGUGCCCGUCGAAUCAGCCGCCGCUCGCCGGCGGCGCACUUCGGCGGGCUCAGGCCAGCAUCAGUUCGCUGCAGGGGGAGAAAGGCGGCGGGAAUGUGGCUCUUCGGAGUGUUAUAGCCCGCCGCGCAAUACCCCUCGGCGGACUGAGGACCGCGCAUCUGCAAGGAUGCU
rnacentral:rRNA from 1 species